AGAAGCGCAUACGGUGGAUGCCUUGGCAGUCAGAGGCGAUGAAAGACGUGGUAGCCUGCGAAAAGCUUCGGGGAGUCGGCAAACAGACUUUGAUCCGGAGAUGUCUGAAUGGGGGAACCCAGCCAUCAUAAGAUGGUUAUCUUGUACUGAAUACAUAGGUGCAAGAGGCGAACCAGGGGAACUGAAACAUCUAAGUACCCUGAGGAAAAGAAAUCAACCGAGAUUCCCUUAGUAGUGGCGAGCGAACGGGGACUAGCCCUUAAGUGGCUUUGAGAUUAGCGGAACGCUCUGGAAAGUGCGGCCAUAGUGGGUGAUAGCCCUGUACGCGAAAAUCUCUUAGUCAUGAAAUCGAGUAGGACGGAGCACGAGAAACUUUGUCUGAAUAUGGGGGGACCAUCCUCCAAGGCUAAAUACUACUGACUGACCGAUAGUGAACUAGUACCGUGAGGGAAAGGCGAAAAGAACCCCGGAGAGGGGAGUGAAAUAGAUCCUGAAACCGUAUGCGUACAAGCAGUGGGAGCCUACUUUGUUAGGUGACUGCGUACCUUUUGUAUAAUGGGUCAGCGACUUAUUUUCAGUGGCGAGCUUAACCGAAUAGGGGAGGCGUAGCGAAAGCGAGUCUUAAUAGGGCGUCUAGUCGCUGGGAAUAGACCCGAAACCGGGCGAUCUAUCCAUGGGCAGGUUGAAGGUUGGGUAACACUAACUGGAGGACCGAACCGACUACCGUUGAAAAGUUAGCGGAUGACCUGUGGAUCGGAGUGAAAGGCUAAUCAAGCUCGGAGAUAGCUGGUUCUCCUCGAAAGCUAUUUAGGUAGCGCCUCAUGUAUCACUGUAGGGGGUAGAGCACUGUUUCGGCUAGGGGGUCAUCCCGACUUACCAAACCGAUGCAAACUCCGAAUACCUACAAGUGCCGAGCAUGGGAGACACACGGCGGGUGCUAACGUCCGUCGUGAAAAGGGAAACAACCCAGACCGUCAGCUAAGGUCCCAAAGUUAUGGUUAAGUGGGAAACGAUGUGGGAAGGCUUAGACAGCUAGGAGGUUGGCUUAGAAGCAGCCACCCUUUAAAGAAAGCGUAAUAGCUCACUAGUCGAGUCGGCCUGCGCGGAAGAUGUAACGGGGCUCAAACCAUACACCGAAGCUACGGGUAUCACGUAAGUGAUGCGGUAGAGGAGCGUUCUGUAAGCCUGUGAAGGUGAGUUGAGAAGCUUGCUGGAGGUAUCAGAAGUGCGAAUGCUGACAUGAGUAACGACAAUGGGUGUGAAAAACACCCACGCCGAAAGACCAAGGUUUCCUGCGCAACGUUAAUCGACGCAGGGUUAGUCGGUCCCUAAGGCGAGGCUGAAAAGCGUAGUCGAUGGAAAACAGGUUAAUAUUCCUGUACUUCUGGUUAUUGCGAUGGAGGGACGGAGAAGGCUAGGCCAGCUUGGCGUUGGUUGUCCAAGUUUAAGGUGGUAGGCUGAGAUCUUAGGUAAAUCCGGGAUCUUAAGGCCGAGAGCUGAUGACGAGCUAACUUUUAGUUAGCGAAGUGGUUGAUGCCAUGCUUCCAAGAAAAGCUUCUAAGCUUCAGGUAACCAGGAACCGUACCCCAAACCGACACAGGUGGUUGGGUAGAGAAUACCAAGGCGCUUGAGAGAACUCGGGUGAAGGAACUAGGCAAAAUGGCACCGUAACUUCGGGAGAAGGUGCGCCGGUGAGGGUGAAGGACUUGCUCCGUAAGCUCAUGCCGGUCGAAGAUACCAGGCCGCUGCGACUGUUUAUUAAAAACACAGCACUCUGCAAACACGAAAGUGGACGUAUAGGGUGUGACGCCUGCCCGGUGCCGGAAGGUUAAUUGAUGGGGUUAGCUAACGCGAAGCUCUUGAUCGAAGCCCCGGUAAACGGCGGCCGUAACUAUAACGGUCCUAAGGUAGCGAAAUUCCUUGUCGGGUAAGUUCCGACCUGCACGAAUGGCGUAACGAUGGCGGCGCUGUCUCCACCCGAGACUCAGUGAAAUUGAAAUCGCUGUGAAGAUGCAGUGUAUCCGCGGCUAGACGGAAAGACCCCGUGAACCUUUACUAUAGCUUUGCACUGGACUUUGAAUUUGCUUGUGUAGGAUAGGUGGGAGGCUUUGAAGCGUGGACGCCAGUUCGCGUGGAGCCAUCCUUGAAAUACCACCCUGGCAACUUUGAGGUUCUAACUCAGGUCCGUUAUCCGGAUCGAGGACAGUGUAUGGUGGGUAGUUUGACUGGGGCGGUCUCCUCCUAAAGAGUAACGGAGGAGUACGAAGGUGCGCUCAGACCGGUCGGAAAUCGGUCGUAGAGUAUAAAGGCAAAAGCGCGCUUGACUGCGAGACAGACACGUCGAGCAGGUACGAAAGUAGGUCUUAGUGAUCCGGUGGUUCUGUAUGGAAGGGCCAUCGCUCAACGGAUAAAAGGUACUCCGGGGAUAACAGGCUGAUACCGCCCAAGAGUUCAUAUCGACGGCGGUGUUUGGCACCUCGAUGUCGGCUCAUCACAUCCUGGGGCUGAAGCCGGUCCCAAGGGUAUGGCUGUUCGCCAUUUAAAGUGGUACGCGAGCUGGGUUUAGAACGUCGUGAGACAGUUCGGUCCCUAUCUGCCGUGGACGUUUGAGAUUUGAGAGGGGCUGCUCCUAGUACGAGAGGACCGGAGUGGACGAACCUCUGGUGUUCCGGUUGUCACGCCAGUGGCAUUGCCGGGUAGCUAUGUUCGGAAUAGAUAACCGCUGAAAGCAUCUAAGCGGGAAACUAGCCUCAAGAUGAGAUCUCACUGGAACCUUGAGUUCCCUGAAGGGCCGUCGAAGACUACGACGUUGAUAGGUUGGGUGUGUAAGCGCUGUGAGGCGUUGAGCUAACCAAUACUAAUUGCCCGUGAGGCUUGACC
rnacentral:rRNA from 1 species